CAAGGAUUCUUGAAGAGCUUUUGACUAGAAUUUGUUACAAAUUGAUCCUAAGUACUAAAAGGUUAAGAGAAAGUGUUAAGCCAUCAAGAGUGGAGAGUUUAAGUGGGUUCUACUUGUGUCCAAGGAAAUAGGUGAGGACUUGGUCGGAUGGACGUCGGCAAGCGG